GAAGUCGGAAUUGCUAGUAAUCGCAGAUCAGCAUGCUGCGGUGAAUACGUUCCCGGGCCUUGUACACACCGCCCGUCACACCAUGGGAGUCGGUAACACCCGAAGCCUGUAGUCUAACCGCAAGGAGGACGCAGUCGAAGGUGGGAUUGAUGACUGGGGUGAAGUCGUAACAAGGUAGC
rnacentral:rRNA from 1 species